AACGAACGCUGGCGGCAGGCUUAACACAUGCAAGUCGAACGCCCCGCAAGGGGAGUGGCAGACGGGUGAGUAACGCGUGGGAAUCUACCUAGUUCUACGGAACAACAGUUGGAAACGACUGCUAAUACCGUAUACGCCCUAUGGGGGAAAGAUUUAUCGGAAUUAGAUGAGCCCGCGUAAGAUUAGCUAGUUGGUGGGGUAAUGGCCUACCAAGGCGACGAUCUUUAGCUGGUCUGAGAGGAUGAUCAGCCACACUGGGACUGAGACACGGCCCAGACUCCUACGGGAGGCAGCAGUGGGGAAUAUUGGACAAUGGGCGCAAGCUUGAUCCAGCCAUGCCGCGUGAGUGAUGAAGGCCUUAGGGUUGUAAAGCUCUUUCAGUGGGGAAGAUAAUGACGGUACCCACAGAAGAAGCCCCGGCUAACUUCGUGCCAGCAGCCGCCGUAAAAC
rnacentral:rRNA from 1 species